rnacentral:rRNA from 1 species
UAGGGAAUUUUCGUCAAUGGGCGCAAGCCUGAACGAGCGAUGCCGCGUGAGUGAAGAAGGCCUUCGGGUCGUAAAGCUCUGUUGCGGGGGAAAAAAGGACAGCAUCAGGAAAUGGGUGCUGACUGAUGGUGCCCCGCCAGAAAGUCAUGGCUAACUACGUGCC